UACGUAGGGGGCAAGCGUUGUCCGGAAUCAUUGGGCGUAAAGCGCGUUUAGGCGGCUCGAUAAGUCUGCUGUGAAAGUUCAGGGCUCAACCCUGAAAUGCCGGUUGAAACUGUCGAGCUAGAGUCCGGAAGAGGCGAGUGGAAUUCCUGGUGUAGCGGUGAAAUGCGCAGAUAUCAGGAGGAACACCAAUGGCGAAGGCAGCUCGCUGGGACGGUACUGACGCUGAGACGCGAAAGCGUGGGGAGCGAACAGG
rnacentral:rRNA from 1 species